UUGAAUGUAGUGCAAGGACUGUGGCUCCCUGGGCUCAGUCUCCCUCAUACCCGGCAAGGGGAAAGCCCUCACCCCUGAUUCCAAGAACAUGGUGAUGUUAAUCCAUUGCGAUGGACACAUCCCUAUCGCUUUCAGCCCGGCACCCUACUGGAUUGCCAACAAGGUCAAUGGGGAUCAGCAUGAGUUGCACUUCUCCAAGGAUGGGUUCGAGGGCUACGGCGACAAUGAUGAGCUGAUUCUCACCAGUGCCAAGUUCACCGUCGAGAGGCUGAAGAAGGCCGAGGUGCCUUAAGUACAUCUGAGAAAAUGUCAUUCAAAUGGCAUAUCAAGGCUAAAGACAGGGCAAAUCAUAGACUAUCACAAGUGGUCAUUGAGAAUAAUUUUUUGUGCUUCCACUGAGCAUUUGUGAGAGGCUGGAAAGCGAUGUUAUCUGGAUGAUGAAUGAUAUCUGUCCUUUCUUUUGGUGUUUGUCAUAUGCUUUCAGAUCUAAAAACUUCGUCUAAAAAAAUAACUUCUAAAGAUGAAUCUAAACAAAUGCUUGUCCAGAUUCAUCUCUAAAAAUUAGUUUUUUUAA